CGCUGGCGGCGUGCCUAACACAUGCAAGUCGAACGGAGCCAGAUCCGACACCGUGUGAGUCAGGGGGGACCUGAUGGCAGGGUGUUGGAUCCGGCUUAGUGGCGGACGGGUGAGUAACGCGUGAGCAACCUGCCUUAAAGAGGGGGAUAACGUUUGGAAACGAACGCUAAUACCGCAUAUGAUCUUGGCAUCGCAUGGUGCAGAGAUGAAAGGAGCGAUCCGCUUUAAGAUGGGCUCGCGUCCGAUUAGAUAGUUGGCGGGGCAACGGCCCACCAAGUCGACGAUCGGUAGCCGGACUGAGAGGUUGAACGGCCACAUUGGGACUGAGACACGGCCCAGACUCCUACGGGAGGCAGCAGUGGGGGAUAUUGCACAAUGGGGGAAACCCUGAAUGCAGCAACGCCGCGUGAGGGAAGAAGGUUUUCGGAUUGUAAACCUCUGUCCUUGGUGAAGAUGAUGACGGUAGCCGAGGAGGAAGCUCCGGCUAACUACGUGCCAGCCGCUGC
rnacentral:rRNA from 1 species